rnacentral:lncRNA from 1 species
UAAGGUUGAAGAUGGGUCUUAAGUAUACUCCUAUUUCAAAACUCAAUUCUUCAAAAGAAAAAGAUCAGUGAGUAUUUCGUAAUCUAUUAUAUACAAAUUUAUUCGACUGUUUUACAAAUCUGUUUAUGAGUAUUAUAUACAAAGUGACAAUUUUAUGCAUGUUUUCUUUUUUAUCUUUGAAGUUCCAAGUUGUGUUGACGACAAUAGAGGAAGAGGAAAGCGAAAAGAAUCCUAAAAUGUAAGUUCAAACAAAAUAUCCUAAAUGCAUAUUCUUUUAAAAAAUUAGUUUGCCAUUUAUCUUUCUACUGCAUUGAUAUACUAAUUUUUU